UACAGAGGUUGCAAGCGUUAAUCGGAUUUACUGGGCGUAAAGCGUGCGCAGGCGGCUUCUCAAGUCAGGGGUGAAAGCCCAGAGCUCAACUCUGGAAUUGCCUUUGAGACUGAGUGGCUUGAGUACGAGAGAGGUGAGUGGAAUUCCCAGUGUAGAGGUGAAAUGCGCAGAUAUCCGGAGGAACACCGGUGGCGAAGGCGGCUUCCUGGACCGACACUGACGCUGAGGCGCGAAAGCUAGGGGAGCAAACGGG
rnacentral:rRNA from 1 species